GAGACAGAAAAGGAAAGAUGCCUCAGAACCUAAGCAUUUCCCUGUGCAGUGGGAAACUGGGCUUGAAUCUGGGUUCCACAUAUUGCAAAACAGGCAUCCUCCCAGAAGAGUUGUCUUGCCAACCCCAGUCCUUGACCUUUGACUGGAGAAGUUUGUCCUUUUCUGCAGAGUACGCAGCUUGGAGUAAGGAAGGGUUGUGGGUGGGAAGGCCUUUUCAACAAGUGAAAAUUUGAUGCAUGUUAAGUAAACUGCCAAAGACCAAACCAGGAAGAUGAACCAGUCCGAUAUCCACCAAAGAUAGUGGGGAAAAAGCAGAGGUUCAAUCCUCUGUGCUUCCAUAAAUCAAGGCUGUGUAGUGCUCUGACAGCAGGAACCUCACAUCUCCACUAUGGAGCCUCUACUUUCCCCAGUCCUGGAACCCUUGGAUAGCGCCCACUUGUCCGUAUGCCUCUCCCAAUCCAUGUCAAAUAAUAUUGCAUCUGCUGAUCACAACCUAACCAACGCAACGAUUGCCACCUCAACAUGCUUCACCUCAGACUGUGUCCAGAGACUUCACGUGUGGAAUGACAACCCUUCAGCUUCAUUACUCGGGUGAGACCUUUCCUUUCAUAGUACACUCUAAUUUCAUCUCACUUUCUAACAAAGUCCCAAAACCUAGAUAUACACCAGUUUCUGUGAGAGAGAGCCUAUGUUCACAUGUAUCCAUAAACUACUGCAAAAUAUAUGCCUGAAAGCAGAAGUGCACUAGAGUUUGCAGUGAGUACCCCCCUAACACUUCCUCUCCUCUAUUUCAAGCUUUGGGUCCAUGAUUGCUCAACAAUUUGUUUGGCUUCGUAUGUUAACUCUCUUUUCAGUCACCAGGUUCCAGAUGUCAUCAGGAUGCCGGCCAGGCUUCCCUGGACUGAAGACCCCACCAAUGUGUCCUGGAGCUCCGCUUCCCCUGAGACCCACCCUACUAGGGGAAGAGAGAGGCAGACUGGGAGUAUGGACCGACCAGUCAACGCCCAUGUUCAGCGGGGAAGCAAUUACAGAAGCCAGACCUUCUACCUUCUGCAACCCACAAUGACCCUGGGUCCAUGCUCCCAGAAGGAUAGAGAAUGGGAAAGCUA